rnacentral:rRNA from 1 species
UACGGGGGGAGCAAGCGUUGUUCGGAUUUACUGGGCGUAAAGGGCGCGUAGGCGGCCAGCACAAGUCAGUUGUGAAAUCUCCGAGCUUAACUCGGAAAGGUCAACUGAUACUGUGCGGCUAGAGUGCAGAAGGGGCAACUGGAAUUCUUGGUGUAGCGGUGAAAUGCGUAGAUAUCAAGAGGGAACACCUGCGGCGAAGGCGGGUUGCUGGGCUGACACUGACGCUGAGGCGCGAAAGCCAGGGGAGCGAACGGG